rnacentral:rRNA from 1 species
UGCAAGUCGAGGGGCAGCACAGGUAGCGAUACCGGGUGGCGACCGGCAAACGGGUGCGUAACACGUACACAACCAACCCCCGUCCGGGGGACAGGCCGCCGAAAGGCGGAUUAACCCCCCCAUGGAACGCGUGUCCCGCAUGGGAUGCGCGUCAAACCCCCGGGGACGGGGACGGGUGUGCGGACGAUUAGCUAGUUGGCGGGGCAACGGCCCACCAAGGCGACGAUCGUUAGCUGAUGUGAGAGCAUGGUCAGCCACACGGGCACUGAGACACGGGCCCGACUCCUACGGGAGGCAGCAGUAAGGAAUAUUGGUCAAUGGGCGCAGGCCUGAACCAGCCAUGCCGCGUGGAGGACGAAGGCCCUCCGGGUCGUAAACUCCUUUUACCCGGGACGAAAAAAGCCCUUUUGAGGGCACUUGACGGUACCGGGGGAAUAAGCACCGGCUAACUCCGUGCCAGCAGCCGCGGUAAUACGGAGGGUGCGAGCGUUAUCCGGAUUCACUGGGUUUAAAGGGUGCGCAGGCGGGCUUUUAAGUCAGCGGUGAAACCCGCGGGCUCAACCCGCGGACUGCCGAUGAUACUAGGGGCCUUGGAUGUCGCUGAGGGCAGCGGAAUGGGGCAUGUAGCGGUGAAAUGCAUAGAUAUGCCCCGGAACACCGAUUGCGGAGGCAGCUGCCUAAAGGACGAUCGACGCUGAGGCACGAAAGCGUGGGUAGCGAACAGGAUUAGAUACCCUGGUAGUCCACGCCCUAAACGAUGAUUACUCGACGUCCGCGGCAUACUGUGGGCGUCCAAGCGAAAGCA